rnacentral:rRNA from 1 species
CCUACGGGGGGCAGCAAUUAGGAAUCUUGCGCAAUGGGCGAAAGCCUGACGCAGCGACGCCGCGUGACUGAUGAAGUCUUUCGGGAUGUAAAGGUCUUUUCUGUGGGAAGAAGGAUGUGACGGUACCACAGGAAUAAGCCCCGGCUAACUACGUGCCAGCAGCCGCGGUAAUACGUAGGGGGCGAGCGUUGUCCGAAUUUACUGGGCGUAAAGCGCGCGUAGGCGGGUUAUUAAGUUGGUGGUGAAAUUCCGAGGCUCAACUUCGGAACUGCCGCCAAAACUGGUAGCCUUGAGGUAUGGAGAGGAAAGUGGAAUUCCUGGUGUAGCGGUGAAAUGCGUAGAUAUCAGGAGGAACACCCAUGGCGAAGGCAGCUUUCUGGCCAUAUCCUGACGCUGAGGUGCGAAAGCCAGGGGAGCGAACG